AUGCGCACAAGCCUGCCUGGUUUCAAAAUUUCAUCUUCUUCCCGAUCCAACUUCAACUCGUCCCGGCCAGGAGAGGAGAGGCCGGCGAUCGAGAUGCACGCGUGCUUCCGUGGCGGCGCCGGCGACAGCAGGGCCGCCAGGUCCAUCAGCGUCGUCAGGGGCUUGGCCAAGAACAUGAAGGCCAUGUCUCUCAAGGCGAAGGCGGCCGGGGGUGUCGGUCAUGCGCGGCCGCGGCGGAGGCAGCAGAAGGAGGCGGACCGUGAGCGUUACAUGGAUGGUUCAGGGCUGACGUCGGCCAAGAUCACGCCGGCGCAUCUGCAGGACGAAGCGGACGACCGCCGGCAUGAUCAUCUGCUGCACACGGAGGACCGGGACAAGUGCUGCUCUCCUUCGCUGGACGCCGACGACGAUGCGGCUGAGAAGGGCGACGACGGCGCCGACGAGUGGGUGGCGGAGCCGGAGCCGGGCGUGCUGAUGACGCUGGCGCCGCGCCCCGACGGCACCAACCGCCUCCGGAAGGUGCGGUUCCGGGACGAGCUGUUCGACGACUGGGCGGCGCAGAGCUGGUGGGCGGACAACCACGACCGCAUCGUCGAGCUCUACAGCCUUGUAACCCAGUCCGACGGCGAUGGCAACGACGACACACCUGCCACCCCGUGCCAGUCCGAGUCCGACGAAGAAGAAGCGCUGCCGGAUGAUGCGAUGGCGGCCGGCGAGCCGUCCAGCGGGAGCAGGUCGAGCGGCACGGCGGGGUCGCCGAUACUGGGCCUGGUCACCGCGCCCGACACCCUCAGAGGAUGCAAAACGCCACCAACAGUGACCUCGACACCUAAAGCGGUGGCGCCGGCGGCCCAAGAAGACGAGGAGGAGGAGGAGGGCGACAUCAGCGACCACCACCAGAGGAACACGCCGUGGAGCGAGUGGGUCGAGGAGUACGAGCCCGGCGUGUUCAUCACCGUCCGGGCCUACCCCGAUCACCCCCUGCAGCUCCGGCACGUCGAACUCAGCCGUGAGAAGUUCGGCGAGGUAAAGGCGAGGGUGUGGUGGCAGGAGAACAAGGACAGGCUGCGCAGCUUCUACUCCUUCUGA
rnacentral:rRNA from 1 species